GGAUAACACUUGGAAACAGGUGCUAAUACCGUAUAACAAUCGAAACCGCAUGGUUUUGAUUUGAAAGGUUCUUUCGGGUGUCGCUGAUGGAUGGACCCGCGGUGCAUUAGCUAGUUGGUGAGGUAACGGCUCACCAAGGCCACGAUGCAUAGCCCACCUGAGAGGGUGAUCGGCCACAUUGGGACUGAGACACGGCCCAAACUCCUACGGGAGGCAGCAGUAGGGAAUCUUCGGCAAUGGACGAAAGUCUGACCGAGCAACGCCGCGUGAGUGAAGAAGGUUUUCGGAUCGUAUUUCUCUGUUGUUAGAGAAGAACAAGGAUGAGAGUAACUGUUCAUCCCUUGACGGUAUCUAACCAGAAAGCCACGGCUAACUACGUGCCAGCAGCCGCGGUAAUACGUAGGUGGCAAGCGUUGUCCGGAUUUAUUGGGCGUAAAGCGAGCGCAGGCGGUUUCUUAAGUCUGAUGUGAAAGCCCCCGGCUCAACCGGGGAGGGUCAUUGGAAACUGGGGAGACUUGAGUGCAGAAGAGGAGAGUGGAAUUCCAUGUGUAGCG
rnacentral:rRNA from 1 species